rnacentral:rRNA from 1 species
AUUGAACGCUGGCGGCAGGCUUAACACAUGCAAGUCGAGCGGGGUGAUGGUGCUUGCACUAUCACUUAGCGGCGGACGGGUGAGUAAUGCUUAGGAAUCUGCCUAUUAGUGGGGGACAACCUCUCGAAAGGGAUGCUAAUACCGCAUACGUCCUACGGGAGAAAGCAGGGGAUCACUUGUGACCUUGCGCUAAGAGAUGAGCCUAAGUCGGGUUAGCUAGUUGGUGAGGUAAAGGCCUACCAAGGCGACGAUCUUUAGCGGGUCUGAGAGGAUGAUCCGCCACACUGGGACUGAGACACGGCCCAGACUCCUACGGGAGGCAGCAGUGGGGAAUAUUGGACAAUGGGGGGAACCCUGAUCCAGCCAUGCCGCGUGUGUGAAGAAGGCCUUAUGGUUGUAAAGCACUUUAAGCGAGGAGGAGGCUCUUUUGGUUAAUACCCAAGAUGAGUGGACGUUACUCGCAGAAUAAGCACCGGCUAACUCUGUGCCAGCCGCCGCCGUAA